rnacentral:rRNA from 1 species
CCUACGGGAGACAGCAGUCGAGAAUCAUUCACAAUGGGGGAAACCCUGAUGGUGCGACGCCGCGUGGGGGAAUGAAGGUCUUCGGAUUGUAAACCCCUGUCAUGUGGGAGCAAAUUAAAAAGAUAGUACCACAAGAGGAAGAGACGGCUAACUCUGUGCCAGCAGCCGCGGUAAUACAGAGGUCUCAAGCGUUGUUCGGAAUCACUGGGCGUAAAGCGUGCGUAGGCUGUUUCGUAAGUCGUGUGUGAAAGGCGCGGGCUCAACCCGCGGACGGCACAUGAUACUGCGAGACUAGAGUAAUGGAGGGGGAACCGGAAUGCUCGGUGUAGCAGGGAAAUGCGGAGAUAUCGAGAGGAACACUCGUGGCGAAGGCGGGUUCCUGGACAUUAACGGACGCUGAGGCACGAAGGCCAGGGGAGCGAAAGGGAUUAGAGACCCGAGUAGUC